rnacentral:rRNA from 1 species
GAUGAACGCUGGCGGCGUGCCUAAUACAUGCAAGUCGAGCGAACGGACGAGAAGCUUGCUUCUCUGAUGUUAGCGGCGGACGGGUGAGUAACACGUGGAUAACCUACCUAUAAGACUGGGAUAACUUCGGGAAACCGGAGCUAAUACCGGAUAAUAUUUUGAACCGCAUGGUUCAAAAGUGAAAGACGGUCUUGCUGUCACUUAUAGAUGGAUCCGCGCUGCAUUAGCUAGUUGGUAAGGUAACGGCUUAGCAAGGCAACGAUGCAUAGCCGACCUGAGAGGGUGAUCGGCCGCCCUGGAGCUGAGACGCGGUCCAGAGUACUACGGGAGGCAGCAGUAGGGAAUCUGACGCAAUGGUGGAAAGCCUGACGGAGCAACGCCGCGUGAGUGAUGAAGGUCUUCGGAUCGUAAAACUCUGUUAUUAGGGAAGAACAUAUGUGUAAGUAGCUGUGCGCAUCUUGACGGUAACUAAUCAGAAAGCCACGGCUAACUACGUG